rnacentral:rRNA from 1 species
AUGUCACCAAAUUUUCCUGCUGAAUUCAACAGUACAAACCUAAAACCUUCUAAGACCAACUUAACUGACAUUGCAUAUUUAGUAAGACCUAAUUACCAUGUUGGAGCUUUGCAUCUACUGUCAAUUCUCUAUCCAAGACUUCAUGGUAACAGAGCACAAUCAGGUCAGACACAUACGUCCACUACCAAACUAACAUCACAAACAAUACCAAGCAUAGCAUGCAUAGUGUUGCCUGAACUUUGUCAUGCAUAUAUGGUGAAGCCACUAUCAAACUCACUAUGUAGGAGGACUAGGAGCACCUGUACGUUAAGCCCUGGCCACCAUGUCUGUGAAGCCCAUGUCCUUGAGGAGCUCAUCCACCUGCUGCAACUCCACCAGGGGCAAGCCAGUCGAGAGAUCGUCGAGCUGUGCAUCUGGGGUGGUGCUGUCAGGGAAGAAGUCGAGCGCCGGCAUCUCCAGGAAGUCGUUGAGGUCCAUGGCCGACACCUCACCGUCAUCCGCAGCAGCGGCCGAGCGUGGUGGUUGCUUGAAGUUGGUUUCGGCCGCCGCGCCGUGCAUCCUGACAGCCGCUGCGUCGUAUGCUCCGGCGGUCUCCUCAGCGGCGCCGAAGCUGCCGAGCCCCUGGUCAGCUCGCCGCACCGGGUCCCAGAUCUGCGCCGAGUACUCCCCGUGAAACGGGUACACGCCGGCGUGCCUCGACCGAGCGCCCAAUGCCUUCCUCCAGGCCUGAAUGUUCGAGCGCAGCUCCGGGAAGAGGUCCAUGGGCGACUCCUCGCCGCCGAUGGCGGCCGUGGGUGGUUGCUCGUAAUUGGUCACGGCCUUGUCGCCGUACAGCAUGACAGCCGCCACUUCAUAGGCUCUCGCGGCCUCCUCGCCCGUGGCGAAGCUGCCGAGCCAGAACUGCUUGGCUCGCCGCUCCGGGUCCCGGAUCUGCGCGGAGUACCUGCCGCUCCGGGGAUGCCGGUACACGCCGCGGAACCCCGACCUGGGCGCGGCCCGCUUCUUCUUAUUCCUCUCGGCGUUCCCCGGCGCCUCGCCCUCGCAGGAGACGCGCAGGAGCGGCGCGUCCCCGUCGUCCCCGUGCUGGAUGGAGUCGGUGAAGGCCGCCGUCGCGCGGUGCAGCCCGACGGCCGCCGCCUCGCCCGCUCGGGCGGCCUCCUCGGCGGCGAUGCAGGGCCAGAUCUGCGCCCCGUGCUCUCCGCUCGGGGUCCCGUGCACGCCGAAGAGCCCCGACCGGGACUUCGUCACAGCAGCCGCAGGAUGCUUGAGGUUGGCCUUCGCGGCCGCGGCGUGCAGCCUGAUGGCCGCCGCGCCGUACGCUCCGGCAGCCUCACCGGCGGAUUGCUGCUGCCCCGGGACCCUGAUCUGCACCGUGUGCUUCCCGGGGCGCAUCCGGUGCACGGCGCGGGGUCGCGACGAGGAGCCCGGGCAAGCCGUCGCCUCCCCUCCGUUGGAGGCCGGCCUGGACGCCGCCCGCUUCUUCCUGCUGGCCGUGACCGAGGCCGCGGCCUCAUCGUGCUCCACCGCCAUCAGAGCACCGGCCCGAGAGGGAGGGAGCACGUCGUCGGGUUCCUGGGGUUUUAG